rnacentral:sRNA from 1 species
GAAGCAGCAACUUCUGAAUCAUCUACAACAUCUACCACAAAAACAACAACAGAAAUAAGUACAACCGAAGCUACAACAACAACGUCCAUUGCAGAAACAACAACGAUGUCAACUGCAGAAUCAACGACAAAGUCAACAUCAGGGACAACAGCGAUGUCAACUGCAGAAUCAACAACAAAGUCAACAUCAAAGACAACAGCGAUGUCAACUGCAGAAUUAACAACAACAACGUCAACUUCAGAAACAGCUAUGUCAACAUCAGAGACAACAACGAUGUCAACAUCAGAGACAACAACAGGAACCAUUACAACUGAAACAACAAUAUUAGAGACAACACAUUCCAUAACUCUAUCCAGUGGUUAUCCAACAGCAAGGACAACACAAAAUCGAACUCUGUUAUUAACCACUGAAGCUGUGAUAUCUCUGGUCAUGUUGUUAAUUGUUAUGCUGGUUUUCGGUAUCAUAGCCUGCGUAGUGUGUUGUUUUGCCAAGAACAAAAAACGGAAACGUUCAACCGAUUCUUCUUGUUCCUUUGCCCCUCCACUCUGGAGACGCCAUUUCAUUGAAGUUGAUUAUUUACGGAAUAAAAGUGACCGAAAUAAACCAAAAAUAAGGCACAACAAAUG